rnacentral:tRNA from 1 species
UUCCUGGUGGUUCAGUAGUUAGGACUCUGUGCUUUCACUGCCAAGGGCCCAGGUUCAAUCCCUGGCUGGGAAA